GCCCUGUGAGUUUAACACUUCAUGAUUGAGAGCUGCCCUUCAUGGCAACAGAAUCCACAACAACAAUGACUUUUAUCAGCAUCUUCAUCUGGGCACUUGUCAUCUGUACUCAGGAAUCCAGUGGACAGUAUACUGUGACUCAGACUCCAGCAGUGAAAUCUGUUCUCCCAGGAGACACAGUCGCUCUGAGCUGUAAAACCAGCAGCGCAGUGUUCACUUAUAGCAAUUACCACUACCUAGCCUGGUACCAACAGAAACUUGGAGAAGCUCCCAAACUCCUGAUCUAUUAUGCAAGUACCCCUCAGACUGGGAUCUCAGCUCGUUUCAGUGGCAGUGGAUCUGAGACUGACUUCACUCUGACCAUCAGUGGAGUCCAGGCUGAAGAUGCAGGAGAUUACUACUGUCAGAGUCGCCACAGUGGUGCUGUGUUCACACAGUGCUACACACCCGUACAAAAACCUCCCUCAGCAGGACUGCACAGCGACUGCACUGCUGCAGCUGGGACCUACUGCAGGUGCUGAGGGUGAAGGCAAUGAAACGGGACCUGGCCUGUGGAGGAG